CAGCACCUCAAGUGGUCAGGAUGAUUAUUGGGCCUAAAGCAUCCGUAGCCGGCGCUGUAAGUUUUCGGUUAAAUCUGUACGCUCAACGUACAGGCUGCCGGGAAUACUGCAGCGCUAGGGAGUGGGAGAGGUAGACGGUACUCGGUAGGAAGGGGUAAAAUCCUUUGAUCUAUUGAUGACCACCUGUGGCGAAGGCGGUCUACCAGAACGCGUCCGACGGUGAGGGAUGAAAGCUGGGGGAGCAAACCGGAUUAGAGACCCGAGUAGUCC
rnacentral:rRNA from 1 species